GUGCAGUUACAUAUUUCUUGGAAUUCCAGUCACAAUUAUGUUCAGCCUUGACAAUCGCAUCUAUUAAUUUUGAGAGAUGUUUCGUUUUGAAAUACCCACUCAGAGUUCGCACUGUCAUCACUUUCAAAAGAAAACUAUUAGUUACAGCCGGUAUCUGGGUGAUUUCAAUCUUGUGUUCAAUUCAUGUUUUUCUAGAUUUUCAUCCAGUCAUUAUAUAUUCUUAUGUAAAUGACGAGUUUGACGAGUGGCAUCCUACAACACAAUUUAUAAUUCCGGCAGUCAUCGUUGUAGUAUCUUGCAUCAUUACAGCUGUAACACUUAUUAAAAGAAUACGCAGUAAUCGUUUACAGGAGUCCAAUCAAAGUAACGUGUCCACAGGAAAUUCUCUCAGAAAUCCAAAAAAGAAUAAAUUUAAAAAAAAUAUUAACUGAUGGUGUGCGGAUGGAUGAGAUCCAGGGAUGAGAUACAUGGAUAGAUGGAUGCAUGCAUGAUGGAUAGAUAAAUGGAUGGCUUGAUGGAUGGAAGAUCAAUAUGGACGAUGGAAGAAGGGAGCCUUAGGAAAGCAUAAAAUAAAUGAAUUCAACAGAACGGACAGAUGGACAAACGAACGACAAACGAACCAAUGAAUGAAGCCAACACAUUUACUUUCACUCCCUAAAAUUCGAUGCAAAAAAAGUAAUAAAACACAAAUUUAAUACUUGAUUCGGUACCAGAUGAGUAGGUGUAAUUUCCUAGAAUUAAAUAAUUUAGAUGAUUGCAUGUAAUUAAAAACUGUUUGUUAAAAUAAUAAUAGCUAUAUUAAAAUGAAUAUUUAGAAUGUAAGUUUAUGUGUAACCUGGGAUACGGCGUCCAACAUUUAUAGAAUAGUAAUAAUUAAGUAAUAAUACUGUACCAUCAAAUUUUACGUUUCAAUUUAUUGUCUAUGUUCCCCCUAAUAGGGGUUUUUACUCAUCAUCAAUAUAUAAUAUUAUUAAUAUAUACAAUAAAGAUCCAGUGUUGCCAAAUAAUCAAUUCUCUUAAUUAUUCUUAUUUUUUAUUGUCAAGACGGUAAACAAUCCACCAAGUUGUUUGAAAGGAACUCAAAAGCAAACCUAAUCACUAUUGCGUUAGCAUGAGAACCUCAACCACCCAGCUUCACAAAAAUACAAUGCUCAAAAUUUAUUAAAACUUUUUUACUAUUUUUACAUUUUUUUUAAUAAAAAGUAUAAUUUGAAAAUUUGGCGUUGAGCAAGAGUCAAAAUUCACUUAAUUUACUAUACAAUGUCUUUAGAAAAGUGUAAAAUAUAUUAAUUGAAACAUUUAAAAAAAUUAUUUAUUUGUCGAUAUAUUAUAGGAAACACCAGAUUUGUAAUUAGCCGUUAACAUCAGCAAAUUAAACAAAAAAUUGUACUUUUUGUGUUAAAUUUAUGUUAGAUAAUAAUUAAAAAAAAUUUGUAAAUUCAAGGAAGAGUAUAAUUCAAUUUUGGAUUAAAUCGAUUUCUGAUCUGAGAAAAGAAAGGACAAAUCAAUGUAAAAUGGAAUUCAUAUUCGAUUGAACGUAAAUUACAGAGCUACUACAAACGACACUGGAGUGAAAUCUUAUUCCAUCUACCAUUCUCGACCUCUAAUUUAAUAACUCCUAAACCAAAAACAGUAUUCUACGUUUAAAAUUCUGAAUUUCACACCCGUAUAUUAAUGAGUAGGUGUAAUUUCCUAGAAUUAAUUAAUUUACAUGUAAUUAAGAAUUGUUUAUUGAAACAUGUUGAAAUUGGUAAUAUUAUUUUUACAUCAAAGCGUUUAUCCCAUAUAUUUAUUGGUAGAUAAUUUAAGUUCUGAUUUAUUGAUGAUUUAAGAGAAUAUAAUAUGUAGCCGCAGUAGAUCAAAAUGUAUAUAUUUUAGACUAUAUUAUUUUACACUGUAAAUACGACGACUACCAUUUAGGAACGUUGGUAAUCUAAUUAACGAGUUUGUCUGUUAGCAAUAAACGCAGAUAUUGUGUUAAGUGUGUUUUGAAGAAGUGUUAAUAAAGUAGAGUAGCGCA